rnacentral:lncRNA from 1 species
CGGGGAGGGAUUUGAGGAGGGGAUCGGAAUGUGGCUCCAGUUCGGGAGGCGUUACCUGCGGAGGGUUUGAGGAAGGCCCAGGAGCGAGCCCAUGGUCUUCCGACGCGGGGCCAGGGGCGGGCCCCAGGAUCCGGAGCUUCGGGGGGGCCGAGUCCGGGUUUGGGGCCCGGGAGGCGGGGCCAGUUAGGUCGAGGGUCCCUGGGAUCGUCGGGUCAGGCCUUGGGCUAACGUAGGCACUCUCGCAGUUCCUCCGCCUUCAGGAAGGUCUUUUUAGCAGGGGCCUUACGGGUGCAUGCUUCGGUCCUGGAGGACUUAGGCUAGCCUCCUCUCCAUCAGCGCCACCCGUCUGGGGCCCGAAAGGAGGGAGCUUUCCCUCUGUCCCCCAGCCUUUGGACUGUCACCAAACAAGCCAUUCGUUCACCAAAUACUUUUUAAGCGCCUACCAUGUGCCUGACAAGGGAUAUGUAACGGUGAGAAAAACUAGGUGUGGUCCAGGCCCUUCAGGGACUCAGGGGCUCGUGGAAGAAGUGGAUAUUGAAGUACUUAUCACACAAAGGAGGAUAAAAGUACGAUAGCGAUAUCUACCACGAAGCUGUUGUUCCACACCAGAACCAAAUGAGCGCAAGAUCUGACAAAAAAAAAAGAUAGGGUCUCUCUCUCUGCCACUCAGGCCAGAGUGCAGUUGACGCAGAGCAGGGGAGCCCUGAAAUGGAGCAUAGUGUGUCCGGAACUGGUGGGUUCUUGGUCUCACUGACUUCAAGAAUGAAGCUGCGGACCCUCGGGAUGAGUGUCACAGUUCUUAAAGGUGGCUUGUCUGGAGUUUGUUCCUUCUGAUGCUCUGAUGUGUUCAGAGUUUCUUCUUUCUG